ACGCACGCUGGCGGCGUGCUUAACACAUGCAAGUCGAACGGAAAGGCCCCUUUGGGGGUACUCGAGUGGCGAACGGGUGAGUAACACGUGAGUAACCUGCCCUUGACUUCGGGAUAACUUCAGGAAACUGGGGCUAAUACCGGAUAGGAAUCCUUGCUGCAUGGUGGGGGUUGGAAAGCUUCGGCGGUUUUGGAUGGACUCGCGGCUUAUCAGCUUGUUGGUGGGGUAGUGGCUUACCAAGGCUUUGACGGGUAGCCGGCCUGAGAGGGCGACCGGCCACAUUGGGACUGAGAUACGGCCCAGACUCCUACGGGAGGCAGCAGUGGGGAAUAUUGCACAAUGGGCGGAAGCCUGAUGCAGCAACGCCGCGGGCGGGAUGACGGCCUUCGGGUUGUAAACCGCUUUCAGCAGGGGCGAAGCUUGUGGUGACGGUACCUGCAGAAGAAGCACCGGCUAACUACGUG
rnacentral:rRNA from 1 species